rnacentral:rRNA from 1 species
AACGAACGCUGGCGGCAUGCCUAACACAUGCAAGUCGAACGAGACCUUCGGGUCUAGUGGCGCACGGGUGCGUAACGCGUGGGAACCUGCCCUUAGGUUCGGAAUAACUCCCCGAAAGGGGUGCUAAUACCGGAUAAUGUCUUCGGACCAAAGAUUUAUCGCCUUUGGAUGGGCCCGCGUUGGAUUAGCUAGUUGGUAGGGUAAAAGCCUACCAAGGCGACGAUCCAUAGCUGGUCUGAGAGGAUGAUCAGCCACACUGGGACUGAGACACGGCCCAGACUCCUACGGGAGGCAGCAGUGGGGAAUAAUGGACAAUGGGCGAAAGCCUGAUCCAGCAAUGCCGCGUGAGUGAUGAAGGCCUUAGGGUUGUAAAGCUCUUUUACCCGGGAUGAUAAUGACAGAACCGGGAGAAUAAGCUCCGGCUAACUCCGU